UCUGACGUAGCUCAAUUAGGUAGAGCAUCUGACUUUUAAUCAGAGGGUCGCAGGUUCGAUUCCUGUCGUCGCUA